CUAUCCCCUUCCCUCUCCCUCCCGCAGCCUCCCCAGAUCUCAGCGGCGCCCUGAACAGAGGCUGCUCCACCAGCGCCCUGAACAGAGGCUGCUCCACCAGCGCCCCACCCCACCCUCUACUGGCUCCCCCACCCGCUCGACCGGCGCCCCAUCGCAGCCUCGACCGGUGCCCCACCGCAGCCUCGACCGGCGCCCUGUCGAGCCCGCCAAGGAGGGGCCGCCUCGUCCCCACCCGCCGCCGUGCGGGAGGAUGGCGACGCCGGGCGGCGCACACGAGCUCCUCAAGAUGGUCGUCCACGCCCGCGCCGGCGGCACCAUCGCCGCGCGUGGACGCCACCGCCGUCCCUGUUCUACCCCGCCGCGCCGCCCCUGCUGCCUCCGCCCCGGCCGUUGGUGCGGCCGUCGAGAUCCGCCGCCCCUGGCCGGCAUCAGACCGGAUGGACCUCUCCGUCACGCUGGCCCUGAGCUCCCCCACGGAGGUGCGUACGGCCGGCCGGAAACCCACCUCCCUCCCGUUACUCAACGAUGCUUGUUGCUACUGCUGCAUUUACCGUGUCUAGUCGAACUGAAUCCAUCUAUCAGUGCUCUCACAUACAAAAUUUUCUUCGUGCACUAUCCAGCGUCCAGCAGGGAGCAGGCUAUAGUACAGACGUACAAGUUUAAGCAAGUUAGUCUGACCACUUGUCUUUCUAUUUAUUAGAUCUAAUAAAUUUAGAGACUUGUUUGCAGUCAAUUCUAGAUUGUUCAGACAAGAUAAUUUACAAGGUAAUACUUGAAUGAUUGCUUAGGCCAUAUUCACUUAAAGGGAAUUCUUCUUGCACGCUACAGAUGAGGACAUCUAUGUUUGGCACAGCAAGUAGAGAUUGAUGACUCUGGUUGCUUUUGCUGAAGCCGUACCCUUGCUCAGCUGCUGUAACCGAAGAAAAAUGUGAUGCAUGGUCAGCUGUAGAUGUUGAAUGAUGGCAAGGAAAUCCUUCCCCAAGCAUUGUGCUUUAAGCAGCUCAUCAGGGUUAAGGGUUAAUUGGACCCUGAGAAAUUCACCAUGUGAAUUAAUAGGAAGACCCAUGUAGCCGCCACUGUACAGAUUGGUGCAUGCAGAUACACGGAGUGUAGCUUGUGCAUUUGUCCCAUGGCCAGAAAUCUCUUCCAGAGUUGGGACAGAUUUUUGUAGAUGAUGUCGGUCCAGCAAACAUACACAUUCUAGCAAAUACUCCCUCCGUUCCUAAAUAUAAGUCUUUUUAAAGGUUUCACUACAAGACUACAUACGGAUGUAUAUAGACAUAUUUUAGAGCAUAGAUUUACUUGUUUUGCUCCGUAUGUAGUCCUUUAGUGACAUCUUUAAAAAGACUUAUAUUUAGGAACGGAGGGAGUAGUCCGUAGUAAUAAUAUUGCCCAGCAAACGCAUUCCUGAUCCAAGAAAAAACCGCACCUUUUUCAUGGCAGCAAUCUCUGCCGUGGACUUGUCCUUGUUGGGCUGAACCCCGGCUGCCCGCCCGUCGCUUACUGUGCACGUCGCAACAAACGGUACACUCCCACAAAUUGCCGUGGACUUGUCCUUGUUGGGAUAUACCUUGGAUAGUUGAAGAAUUAUCUGAAGUUGUUUAUCUAACGACCAAAACAGUUGUUUAGCUAUGUGAAUUGUUUUUUUUUCACCUGAUAAUCCAUAAUUAUGAGUUUGCCUAGCAAGUAUUGCACAUUUUCUCUUGAACAUUCUCAAAUUUGAUAAUCUUGUUACUUCUAAAUUAUUCAGAGUUGGCAUAUGCUGAAAGAAACACUUUGAGAAGAAGACAAAUUACACUCUCGUUACUAACCAUGACAUUUCGUUGGUAAGCCUUAUGGAAUCUUGUUCUAAGCACUAAGUUUACAAGAAUAUUUCGAGGUCCUCUGAGUUGCUUAUUUACUUAGUUAACAUAAGUUCUUUUUCUCCUGAUUACUUUUCUGAAGGAAGAGAUUUUGUUCUCGGUGAUUGGGCAUAGUGAUUUUGAUGCAUCGCCUGAUCUCAUUCUCACACAGGAUAUCAAUGGGGUGAAUGCCGGUAGGAGAAACUUGCACAUUGUUCAUUUUUUACUUUAUGUUUGUCCAAAUCAUUUGCCAAGCAAAGCAAUGGCAAUUUCUGUGAUAUAUCACGCUCAUUAACACUGAAUAUUUGUUCACCUGCUACUGUAUCUUGAGAAUACGCAUAUGAUAGCUUAGUAUGACUCAUUUGGUGGUUGAUGAAAAUCAUAUACUAGUCAGAUUGUAGGAGGUUUGUGAUUAGUUGUGCCAUUCACUUUUAGAAAUAGAACUGAGAGAUGAAACCCAUCUUUCGCGAAUUAAAACUGAAUGUGCAAGUUUUUAUUAUAGCAACAACAAGGUUUAAGUUCUGAUUUUGUAGAUAAAAAAUAAUUGCCGACUGAAAAAAUUUCCUCCCAGAUACAAGUGUAUCUGGUGGUUGAUUAAACUCAUCAUUAUAAUCCUGUAAUUUUAGAGUAGUGUAAUUUUGAAAAAAAUACAAUGCCAAAGUCGGUCGAAGCGAUGUCAUAUGAAAUCUGGCUUCCAUGGUUUAUACUAAAGGCAUCAUUUUUCAGGUGGUAUAUACAAUUAUACACAACUCAAUUUAUUCUAGAGAAUCAUAUUUCAAAGCUGCCUGAGCUCACCACUAUCCUUGCUUCUACAAGCUAACCAACUUAAUUUUAUCUGUCUUUUGUGUUGUAUUCUUGUCAUUUAUUUAGAUAGAUGUUUCUGUCCUUAAUUAUGUGGAAGGUCGUGAUGAAUGCACCUACAUCUGGUUCCACUUUCUUAGACAAAUUUGUGCAAAAUGUUUUCAGGUACUCAACCUAUUGAUGCACAUGGACAUGAUGACUCUCUAGCGUUUAUGGACCAACCAACCUGUAAUCAUGGACCUUAUUGUCUUGUAGACCAUUUGGUGUUUCGAGUGUUUUGGAGCUUGCACUUUGUGCAUGUAGAUACAAACUUGUGUGUUCUGGACCAUUUGAAGUCUCUCAUAGUAACCAAUAGUCCUUAUCUUUUUGUGACUUGUGUGUUCUAGAUGAUUGUUAAGAUGGUCAACUAUGCUUCCUCUAGGUUAAUUUGUUUGUCAACUUGCGUUCAACGUAUGUGCAUGUUUAUAAACAUAUUUUCAUUCUGGUGUAAUAUGUGUUUAUCUUGAACCUUCUUGUGGGUGUGAGGAUAAUAAUUGAAUAUUUUUAGAGCUGGUAGUAUAA
rnacentral:lncRNA from 1 species